GAAACGGAAUGAAAUUAUCAAUUUCAUUGGCUGGCGUGAGAUCAAUAACACCGAUACCGGAAAUUGGUGUUCAAGUGCGGGAAUUACACGUGGAAAUUCACGAAUACGACGUAAACAAAGUCGAAAUUGCAUUUAUUUGCAAGAUUUCAAAUACAAGUUAAUUGUUACAUUUAAUCUGAUUGUGGCUUUAUACGUACGAUCUGUACACUUUUGUAUCUUGUAUUAUGGCAAAUACUUUUUGUUUGUUUAUAUAUAAAUUACCGAUAUGAUGUAACAAAAUAUUUACUUCAAUUCAAUUGCGCCAGUGAUCGCCAGUGUUGGGAUUUUGGCUUGUUCUGGACCUGUUGUGUUUGCCGUUUGGAAAUAGCCAUCAUUGAAUUUUUGUGUGGAUAUAAGACUCUAUUUUUGAGUAUACCAUAAUAUUCUUUAUAUAACUUUAUAAAUAUAUUAAAGUAUUAAAUUAUGUGAGCUAUGGAUGGUGGAAUAUUCGGUUAAAAUAGUAGUGGAAUAUUCGAUUAAAGUAAUAAUUUUAUAACAAACCUACUGUUAAUUUAAACCCUCCACAUCCUCUCUCAAAUUGAGAUACAAGCUAUAGUUUCUAGACUCCAUGCCUGAAAUAAAUAAGCUGCUUGGCCAGCUUGGGGCUUAACAGAAAAUAAACAGGACAGCAGUGUAGGGUACAAACCACUCUCCCAUUUCUGAAAGCCUUUGGAUGAUAUAGCAUCCAUGAAAGCAUAGGUUGGGAAUAAAAUAAGCUUUAAAUUGCCAGAAUUUUGAGGUAAAAUUUAAAGGACUGAGAUUUAGAGCACCAUAAGGUGUUCACGUUGUGGCAACCGAAUGCCUUCCCACCAAAAGUGUCUGCUACUGCAGUAAGAGCAUACAAUAUGAUGUGCUGAAAUUAUAUAUGCUAACAAUAUCAGUAUGGCUACGACUAGUGGUGUAGUCCUGGAAUGUUAACAAGGGGGGGGGGGCUCUCCAACAGGGGCAAAACUUCUGUAUUUGAUCAUUUGCUAAUUAAUAUUUCUUUUCCCAAAAUUGUUGGUGAGCGGGGAGCAUUUUUCACUACCACUUUUUCCUACCACUAUUACUUUUCAAUCUGAGACACUCAAAUAUUUUCAAGAUUUGCCCGACUAAAUUGUAUGGGUAUACCCGAUGAGAUCGAGACAGGGGGUGUCACCCCUACACACACCCCCAGGUAGUUUUGUCCCUUUUCUAAGUCCCCCUGAGCCCCUCCCCUACUAGACCACUGGCUAUGACAAUGCCAUAGUGGCAGCAGGUCAUCCCACAUGCAUCUUACAUUCCACUUGCAACAUUAUAUAGUUAACGUACAGUACAUAUCUAAUGGGAAUAGUAGCUAGUUACCUUGAUUUGGCCAUAUACCUGUUGCAGGCAUACAUCAGCACAUGUAAGUUAUGAUUUGUCUUCCAGGGAUAUGAAGCAAUGUCAGGAGGUCAGGGUAAUGUAGCUUACCCCAUAACCCCAAUAAUGGCAGAUUUCCCAAUCAGUGCCCCCAGUUUUGGAUAGGCAAUUUAGCAACACCCUGCCUUGCCUGCCACCUUUCAGACAGGCACCCAACCUGAUGACAUCAGUCUGUGUUAAUUGUUAAACCCAUAGAUAGGUCUCCUAUAUCUAUGGUUAAACCCAAUAGUUAUGAUAAAUGAUAAUAUUAUAUCAGCAAAAACAUUUCAAAGUUCAAACACUGUGUCAUAAUUCCAUUUAAUUAAGUUAUUUUCAAGCAUCAAUAAUUAAUUGUCAACAUAAUUUUUUAUGACUCAACUAAUAAAUAAAUUAAAUACAUAUAACCAUGGAACUGUUUGUAUGAAUGUAAUGCAAUGCAUAAUACAGUGCCGUAGCCAGAACGAUAAUUGGGGGGGGGGGCACAUAUUCAUAUAUUCGUGUUCACAUACCAUAAAAACAAUUGAUUUCAAAAGAAAUUAAUAAAGCAGAACACGAAUAUAUGAAUAUGUGCCCCCCCCCAAUUAUCGUUCUGGCUACGGUACUGGCACAAUGUUAAAUCAAACUUAUCACAGGACAAAGGAAUGAUAUAGCUAGAGUAAUAACAGAGGGAAGUAUUUUCAUGCUUAUUUUAAAUAUCAAUACAAUGCACCAAUUAAAGUAUCACUAUGUAAUUGUAAUAAACAAAAUAGGCUAACAGGUCCACAGUUGCCCAUAAAGCAUUCUACAUAUUUUAAUAAUAUAAAAAAUAUCUAAUAGUUUGUAAUAAUCUAGAUCCUCUAUAAAACCUCUGUCAGUGGCCUUCUUGCGAAGUCUCUCGAUACCAUUUCUUGACCGUAUAAAAUCCAUAGAAAUGAUUAGUUUAUAUACACCGCAUAUAUAUUUACUCUGUAACUUUUAGCACAAGAAAAUGAAUCUUUUUCAAUUGAUUUCAAUGUAAAACAGUAAAAGUAUCAAAUUUUCGACUGAAUUCUACGAUUUUAUUUAUGAUUGCAACUAAUGACGCCCGCACGAAUUCAAUGUUGCGGUUUGAGCGUGAGCAUGCGCACAACUAACCGGAUAUCCAAAAUUGGAUAUCCGGUAUUCCGUUUCUC